rnacentral:misc_RNA from 1 species
GAUGAAGAACGCAGCGAAAUGCGAUAAGUAAUGUGAAUUGCAGAAUUCAGUGAAUCAUCGAAUCUUUGAACGCAUAUUGCGCCCGCCAGUAUUCUGGCGGGCAUGCCUGUCUGAGCGUCAUUUCAACCCUCAUGCCCCUAGGGCGUGGUGUUGGGGAUCGGCCAAAGCCCGCGAGGGACGGCCGGCCCCUAAAUCUAGUGGCGGACCCGUCGUGGCCUCCUCUGCGAAGUAGUGAUAUUCCGCAUCGGAGAGCGAUGAGCCCCUGCCGUUAAACCCCCAACUUUCCAAGGUUGACCUCAGAUCAGGUAGGAAUACCCGCUGAACUUAAGCAUAUCAAUAAGCGGAGGA